GUUACCAAUCAAUAUAUAUUUAUUUAUUUCAAUCACAGAUAAUAAAAUAAUAUGAAGUUAUUUCUAUACAUAAAAAUAUUUUAAAUUUUAACAACGACAGUGCGAGUGAAAGUAUUGACAGGUGUCGUGUGUUGGCUCUCAAAUGUUAACAUGUUUUGUAAGUUAUCGUUGUAAGUGUUUAUUCGUGAAAGAUAUGAAUGGCAGAAAUAUGUUGCGUGUUUAUAGGAGAUAUUUUGGAAAUUAAUCGAGCGUUGUCACUGUAAAUGUUAUCUAUUUAUAGUUAUGUUUUCUGAUGGUUUAAGUAAGAUUAAAUUGAUUCUUAUGUAUUUAAUACAAUAUAAAGAUAUCAUCUAAGCAUGAAAUAGUUAUUGUUGAGAUGAUCUACAAUGAACUGAAAAACCAGUGAUUGUAACAAGAUUCAAUCUAGGGAUGCUUUUGUGAUGUUCUAGAGACAUAAGCACUGUGCUACUGAUUCCUUUAUUACAGAGAUGGAACUAUAAAGAAAAUUCAGAAGAAGAAACGAUAUUCACCAAUAUGUCCAGUGUGUCUAAAACUGUUUUGUACUCAACAAGCCCUCAAUAUACAUAUGAACAGUCAUCGUGCUGUCAAAUUAAAAUAUCGAUGUGACAUCUGUGAUAGAACUUACACCUGCCUAACUAGUCUUUCUCGACAUAAGAAGAUUCACGAAGGUUCAAUUGGAACAUUUAAAUCAAUUGAUAAAGCCAAGAAGAAAUCAACUCAGUGUCAUAUAUGUAGGAAAGUAUUUUCUACUCAAAGUAACUUGACAACUCAUCUUAGCUGUCAUCGUGCUGUGAAAGACAAACAUAGAUGCAAAAUUUGUGGACAAGCAUAUACCUGGUUAACGAAUCUUUAUCGUCAUAUGAAAAUUCAUGAAGAAUUUUAUCAUCAUGUUUGUUAUCUGUGUUCAGAAAAAUUUAUAUCCUUAGUCGCUUUAAGAAGACAUCAAGCAAGAAAACAUCCUGGUGUUCCCACGUGAAAGUUUCAUAGGAAACCAGUUUUAAUUUUAAACAAUGUAAUUUAUAAAAUUCUUGUACAGUAUUAUAAACUUUUAUAAAGAACUUUCAAAUUCUUGCAGUAUGUAUAUAUUGUAAAAAAAAUUCAAAGAUCUCAAUAUUUUUUCUAUUUUUUAGAACGUCAAAUAAUCAGAUCUGUAUAUAACAGACAGCUUUUAAGAUAUUAAUAAUCAUGAAUAUGAUUCAUGAAAAAAUAGUUUCUACUAUUUUUAUGAUUUAAAACUUUUAUAUUUAAUUGUAGUUGUAUUUUUUCACAAUAAAUCGGAAUU